rnacentral:rRNA from 1 species
AACAUUGGUCAAUUGCCGGACGGCUGAACCAGCCAUGCCGCGUGCGGGAAGACGGCCCUCUGGGUUGUAAACCGCUAUUGUGUGUGAGCAAUAAGGUCCACGAGUGGCGUGAUGAGAGUAGCAUACGUAUAACCAUCGGCUAACCCCGUGCCAGCAGCCGCGGUAAUACGGAGGAUGCAAGCGUUAUCCGGAUUUAUUGGGUUUAAAGGGUGCGUAGGCGGCGCGUUAAGCGUGAGGUGAAAGCUCGGGGCUCAACCCCGGAACUGCCUCGCGAACUGGCGUGCUUGAAUGCUCCUGCCGUGGGAGGAAUGUGUGGUGUAGCGGUGAAAUGCAUAGAGAUCACACAGAACGCCGAUUGCGAAGGCAUCUCACGAAGGGGUUAUUGACGCUGAGGCACGAAAGCGUGGGGAUCAAACAG